AAUGAAAGUUUUUUGAUAAGGCAAGGCCAUUGGAAACCAUAGCAAAUUCCAAAGUCAAUAAUAUGAACGCUGCUCUCAUUCUCCACUAGUCUGAAAAUCGUUUUGGUUAACAACAUAUUCGUCAAUCUCUGCAAAGGAGAUGAGGUAAUGAAUAGUUUGUAAGCUUUCAACAUAUCUCCAGCAGUAGCCAUAUCAAGUGGCUUAUACGAUGGCGUCUCGGCAGACAAUCUUAUCUCAAGACCAUUUGCAAAAUAAUGAGCUAAACGCUGGAGUCCAUCCCCAAAUUGCGAAGAAUGUUGCCUAAUCUGCUUGAGUAGCUCAUUUGUAUUCCUUUGAUCGUAGCUUGCCACGGCCUGCGCACAUUGAGUUAGCAUUGUCCACAAAUCUACAGCUGGGGCAUUGUUAGUAGUAGAUACUUUCUUCGAACGCGAACCCGUUCUCUUUGCCUUCCCUCCUGAAUUGACAUUAUGUGAUGCUUGUUGGUUUUGUGUCCUUCCUGCCUGACAAAGCAAUACCUCUUCUAAGAUCUCUGGUGGCUCUAAUUCAUCGGAGAAGAUAGCUGAAAGCUUGCUACCUCUUCCCUCUUGUUCAUUCCAAGUAUCAUCACCAUUCAUCUUAUGACUUCUCUUUUCUCUUGGUACUACUGAAGUUGAAAUCUCUUCCACCAUCCCUGGCUGAAUGGCAUUCCAACAUCCGUUGUGAAUACCGUUAGCAGCUUCUGUCACAUUAAAGUUGUUUUGUUCUACUACAUGGGUUUGUAGUUGUAAGGAAGAACAAUCGAAUUCGCCAGCAUGGUUGACCCAAUCAGACUCAUAUGAGUUAUCAGUGGAGCAGCUGCUGCUAUUGCUCUCAAAACUAGCAGUGCCGCGACUGAAAUUUCCAUCUGUGUUGGUGGUAUCUUCACAUGAUGAAUUAGGAUAGUUGUGACCAAGAACAUCAUAGAAUGAUUUUUCAGCAGCUUGGAGUCUUAAACAUUCCUGCAACAUGCAAGGUUUAAGCUCCAAGUCAUCUUCUUCAUCCAUGAGGAUGUCACUUAUGUAUCCGAGGAUGUAAUUGGAAUAUCUUGUCCCUUUUGAGGAUUCUCCAUUUGAGCUUGUGACAGAAGAAGGUGAUGAUGAUGAAUCUUCCAACUCAAAUCCAUUUGUUACCGGGUUUACUGUGUCAGGAACACAGAAAUCUUGCAGAAAGGCGUUCGGAGAAAGCAUAUUGAGACAAGGCUAAUACCAAAAUUGAACCAAAAAAUCAGAUUUUUAUACUAGAUGUUUUGAAAAAAUUUUUGUUCCAGAGAAGCCAAAAAUAUAUCACUAGGAAACUUUUGAUGAAUCAAUGAAACCAAAGACAGAACAAGAACAGAAACAGGAAAAGAUAGAAUUAUUGAUAUAUUUAAGGAUAGCAAGAAAACAAGAUUCAGAAAACUAAAUAGCUACUCCUAUUUUGGAUAAUAAUAACAUAUCUAGAAUAGAAUGAAGAAGAAUGAAUUAAAGUGAAAAUAUUAGAGGCUAAUGAAUAUAGCAGGGGACAAACUUAAGAAAAGUUUAUAUCUAGCAACUGAAGAGUAAAUGGCAUAGUUGUAUGAUUUAGUCAUAUAUCAUUGUUAUAUAGAAAAUUCAUAAAUGAUUCUUCCUUUGUAUAAAGGAAGUUGCUAGGAAGGAGUCUCAUAGUCAUAGCCGCCAACCCUCUUUUUGUAUUAUUUUAAUUUUAAUUAUUUGGAUCAUGCUAACUACUGUCCCGCAUUUUCCUAAUUAAUACUAAUUUUUAUGAUAUAGUGAUAAUAAUUCAGGGUAUAGUAUGUGUUAAGUAUAUGACUUGCUUAUUGUCAAAUAAAAAGUAUAUGGCUAGCUGUCACUGUCACACACACAUGAGUGAUAAGUGAUCUGUGAUCUAGUCUUUGAUUUUUCUAUGUAAAUAAAUAAAAUAUAUGCAAAAAUAUAUAAGUUGAGAUGUAAAGUGGUCAAACAUGUACACGUGUCAAAUGCAGGUGAACCCUUGUUCCCCAAGUCACUUUAUACAACCUAAUAGUAUUACUAAAUUAUAUAUAUGUGGAGUGCUACUAACUUCAAUUUUGAAUUCAAUGUGAAUGCACCUGGAAUGUGAUUGAUGUUUUCUUUGGUCAAAUGAUGGUGUAGUAAGACUUUUGUCAUGUAAUCUACAAUUCUACAUACCACUUGACCCUAACAACGAACCAUAUCAUAGAAAAUAAAAAGAAAUUUCAAUGGGAACAUUUUUUUAUUCAAAAUUAGUUUGUGUCAGUUUUAUGGUUUAUUUUCUUUAAACCAUUGAAUUCAAGCUGGGUGAUUAAAAUGAGGAGGGUCUCAGAAGCUUUAUAUGAUAUGAAAGUACCGCUUAAGUUAAAGGGAAAAUUUUAUCGGCGAUGUUGUAGGAAUUACUGCCAUUUCCUAGUUUUCGUUUUCAUUCAGGUGUUCUUCCUUUAAGUAUUACUUUUGUCUUUUCUGGUGAUUAGUACUAAAUUUGUGUAUCAUAAAGAAAAAGAUUGUCAUGUUUUUCCAUCUAGGUAGUAAAUUGAACAUCAAUAUUGAAAUAAAACUCAAAUGGAGAAAGAGAAAUAGAAAAGGAAAAAUUCAUUGCAUUUUUUUCAACAGGCCUAAGUGAAUUACAUAUGAUACUACUAUGAGACACCUUGUAGACAUUUUCUUAAGCAGGAACCCAAGCAGAUAAAGCAUACAAAAUACGCCCUUUCCAUCCUUGCAAAAUCCACUUACCAUCCUCAUCAACUAGAAAAUCUUCAUGGUAUUCCUUCUUUACCAUUUUUAUGGUUUCAUUCACUAACUCAGGAUCCAACCUGAUUUGCUUAAACCCAGCUCUUCUGUUCCUGAUCUGCCAUUGCUUGUAGGUCUCAGGCCUUUCAACUCUCUCUGCACCCUCACAAGCUAUAACAUUUAUGGCAUCCCUACCAAACAAACUACUCUCAAGCAUCAACCUCUGCGGAUCUUCGCGAGGCACAUUAGCCUCAAACAUAUCAAACAACGAUGAGAAGUGGUAUAAUGCUUCCCUAAACCGAGUCAGGAAAUACGGUGCACUAUAACUUCCAUUGACAACUCCGUGGAAGAAGAUUUUUGGAUUAAUUUUCCUGAUCAGCUUCAACAAAGCUUCUCUUGGACAAUUGACUGCAACCGUUUCAUCAGGCAGGUUCUUAAGUCUGUAUAAACAGCUAACAAGAGUUAUUUCAUUCCUGUCUAUCUUCAGAUCCUCGAGCCGGAUAGUUUCCCAUUUCUGUGCAAUGCAGUUGUAUUCAAAUGGUACAUUGAACUUUUUGCAGUAGUUUCCUAAACGCCGUCCAGUUUCCUCCACCCUCUCUGCAGGCCUAAAUCCUGCCUGAGGAAGAUCAAUUCCCGUAAUUCGAAGCUUUAGUGGACCACCAGGUCUUAAUGAAAGUCUUUUGAUGAGGCAAGGCCAUUGGAAACCAUAGCAAAUUCCAAAAUCGAUAAUAUGAACGCUAGAACUCUCGUUCUUCACUAUGUCGAUAAUCGUAUUGGUUAACAACAUAUUUGUCAUUCUCUGCAAAGGAGAUGAGGUAACGAAUAGUUUGUACGCUUUCAACAUAUCUCCAGCAGUAGCCACAUCAAGUGGCUUAUACGAUGGCGUCUCGGCAGCCAAUCUUAUCUCAAGACCAUUGGCAAAGUAAUGAGCUAAGCGCUGCAGUCCAUC
rnacentral:lncRNA from 1 species